AUUGAACGCUGGCGGCGGGCUUAACACAUGCAAGUCGAGCGGAGCGAGGGUGCUUGCACCUUAGCUUAGCGGCGGACGGGUGAGUAAUGCUUAGGAAUCUGCCUAUUAGUGGGGGACAACAUUCCGAAAGGAAUGCUAAUACCGCAUACGCCCUACGGGGGAAAGCAGGGGAUCUUCGGACCUUGCGCUAAUAGAUGAGCCUAAGUCGGAUUAGCUAGUUGGUGGGGGAAAGGCCUACCAAGGCGACGAUCUGUAGCGGGUCUGAGAGGAUGAGCCGCCACACUGGGACUGAGACACGGCCCAGACGCCUACGGGAGGCAGCAGUGGGGAAUAUUGGACAAUGGGCGGAAGCCUGAUCCAGCCAUGCCGCGUGUGUGAAGAAGGCCUUUUGGUUGUAAAGCACUUUAAGCGAGGAGGAGGCUACUUAGAUUAAUACUCUAGGAUAGUGGACGUUACUCGCAGAAUAAGCACCGGCUAACUCUGUGCCAGCCGCCGCCGUAAAAC
rnacentral:rRNA from 1 species